CUUGUAUGUGUUUGUGCUCAGAAGGAGAAGUAUUUGGUGAACCACUCCUGCUUCAGCCCUUCUGUCCCCCUCUGUUCCAGCCAUGAUACCUGUGGUACAGCUGUGGCUCAGGAGGCAGAGUGGGUUGUGUACUACCUGGCAGUGUACCCAUCUUCUAAUGGCUGAUUCCAGCAGAAUAACUCAACAUGUCACAAAGCUCAAAUCAUCUCAAACUGGUUUCUUGAACAUCACAAUAAGCUCACUGUACUCAAACGGUCGCCACAGUCACCAGAUCUCGAUGCAAUAGAGCACGUUUUUUGGAUGUGGUGGAACAGGAGAUUAACAUCAUGGAUGCACAGCUGACAAAUCUGCAGCAACUGUGUCAGUAUGGACCAAAAUCCCUGAGGAAUGUUUCCAGCACCUUGUUGGAUUUAUGCCACAAAGAAUUAGACUGUUCUGAAGGCAAAAAGGUAUCCAACCCAGUACUGGCAAGGUGUACCUAAUAAUGUGUACCACUCCAUUUAAUGUUGACAUUCAUAUUCAUAAAUACUCAGUAGUCAUUAAUAGAUUAUUUCAUGAUCACAUAGUAACGAGUACUCACAGGUAGGAUAAUAUCCAUCUUCAAGAUCGUCUGUCAUUCUCAUGUUUGUUUGUGUUUAUAUUGUUUUUAACCUAUGUCAUUUAUGGAACUGAGUCUCUGCUGGUGUAUGAUCGCCGAACACUACUGGACCUCCAACCUUCGGUCCAGGACAUGGUGAUAUUUGGUGUUGGUGGACAGCAAUCCUUGCCCCCGUUUCUGUCGGAGAUUCCGAGUCAUCUGUGGCGGGUUCCUGCGCUGCCUUCCCGGCGGAGACGUCAUCGUCGUCGCGGAAGAAGAAGCGGCCGGCUGGUGAAGCUGAAAUUUUACCUG